rnacentral:rRNA from 1 species
UUGACCUCGGAUCAGGUAGGGAUACCCGCUGAACUUAAGCAUAUCAAUAAGCGGAGGAAAAGAAACCAACAGGGAUUGCCCCAGUAACGGCGAGUGAAGCGGCAAGAGCUCAAAUUUGAAAGCUGGCUCCUUCGGGGUCCGCAUUGUAAUUUGCAGAGGAUGCUUCGGGAGCGGUCCCCAUCUAAGUGCCCUGGAACGGGACGUCAUAGAGGGUGAGAAUCCCGUAUGGGAUGGGGUGUCCGCGCCCGUGUGAAGCUCCUUCGACGAGUCGAGUUGUUUGGGAAUGCAGCUCUAAAUGGGUGGUAAAUUUCAUCUAAAGCUAAAUAUUGGCCGGAGACCGAUAGCGCACAAGUAGAGUGAUCGAAAGAUGAAAAGCACUUUGAAAAGAGAGUUAAAAAGCACGUGAAAUUGUUGAAAGGGAAGCGCUUGCGACCAGACUCGCUCGCGGGGUUCAGCCGGCAUUCGUGCCGGUGUACUUCCCCGCGGGCGGGCCAGCGUCGGUUUGGGCGGUCGGUCAAAGGCCCUCGGAAGGUAACGCCCCUCGGGGCGUCUUAUAGCCGAGGGUGCAAUGCGACCUGCCCAGACCGAGGAACGCGCUUCGGCUCGGACGCUGGCAUAAUGGUCGUAAACGACC